rnacentral:misc_RNA from 1 species
GAUGAAGAACGUAGCGAAAUGCGAUACGUAAUGUGAAUUGCAGAAUUCAGUGAAUCAUCGAAUCUUUGAACGCACAUUGCGCCUGCCAGCACUCUGGCAGGCAUGCCUGAUCGAGCGUCAUUUCAACCAUCAAGCCCUAGGCUUGCGUUGGAGCCCUGCGGCUGCCGCAGGCCCCUAAAAGCAGUGGCGGGCUCGCUAUCACACCGAGUGCAGUAGAUUACUCUUCGCUCAGGGCGUGUGGCGGGUUCCAGCCGUGAAACCCCCUACUUCUCAAGGUUGACCUCGGAUCAGGUAGGAAUACCCGCUGAACUUAAGCAUAUCAAUAAGCGGAGGA